rnacentral:ncRNA from 1 species
CUAAUUAUAAUGAAAAUUUGAUUCUAUUUUAUGGGAAUAAUUUUUUAUUAAUUAUAACAUGUAAAUUUUUGUUUGUUAGGAAAAUUUAUUUAAAUAAUAAAUUUUAGUUUUAUGCGCAGUUUAUGGUUUUAUAAAUUUAGUUAUUUAAGAUAUAGUUAUUUAUUAAAUGGUUAGCAAAAGUUGUGCCAGCAGCUGCGGUUAUACAUCUAACCAAAGUUAUUUAUUUUAAAUAUUUAAUUAAAUUUAAAUUGUAUUGAUAUUAUGAUAGUUAUUUUAAGGUAAAAUUUAAAUAACUAAAAUUUGUGUUUGGUUACUUUUAUUAUGAGAAAUUUCAUUUUGAGACUAGGAUUAGAUACCCUAUUAUUAUGAAGUGUAAAAUUUUGUUUUCAGUAUUAUAAGUUAUGAUCUUUAAAUUGAAAGAAUUUGACGGUAAUUUAAUCAUUUUAGAGGAACCUGUUCUGUAAUUGAUGUUCCACGAUAAAUUUUACCCUUAUUAAUAGCUUGUAUAUCUCUGUUUGAUUGAAUGUUUUAUAAGAAUUUAUUUUCUUUUAUUUUUUUUGAAGUUUAUGUCAGGUCAAGGUGCAGUUAUAUAAGGGUUUGAAAUGGGUUACAUUUACUUUAAGUAAUGAAUUGAUUUUUUUGUUAAUUUCAUGAAAUUGGAUUUAAUUGUAAUAUACAAUAUAUUUUGUAUAUGAUACAUGUCCUUGAUUAAGUACAUAUCGCCCGUCACUCUCAUUAAAAUAAUGGGAUAAGUCGUAACAAAGUAGUUUUAUCGGAAGAUGAGGCUGGAAUUAUUA